GGAAGUGCUCUAAGUGUGGAGUGGGGCAGACUAAGGCUACGGGACGACACGGAAGGACAGACGUUCACUUUCCAAGUCACUCUCUCACAAGACGGUCGGAUUAUUUUCGUCUAUAAAAAGAUCCCGAAGCCGGUGACGAGUAUAGACGACUCCUCCCACCCCGUCAGGGUCGGGAUCUCUGACGCCUACACGGUGGAGGCGCUGCUGGUGCCAUUCUCAGAUGUGAAUCGGAAGACGUCGACAAUCUACGAGUACCACACCAUAGAGCUGGACAAGGGGAAGGUGACCACAGGGUCGGCCAUUGUGCUGUCGCCACUACCGACAUGUGGCCAGUUCAGAGACUGCAACAGCUGUCUCAGGUCUAAAACAGGCUUCAACUGCCGCUGGUGUCCAUCGCUUCACAG